rnacentral:rRNA from 1 species
ACUCCUGCGGGAGGCAGCAGUGGGGAAUAUUGGACAAUGGGCGCAAGCCUGAUCCAGCCAUGCCGCGUGAGUGAUGAAGGCCCUAGGGUUGUAAAGCUCUUUCACCGGUGAAGAUAAUGACGGUAACCGGAGAAGAAGCCCCGGCUAACUUCGUGCCAGCAGCCGCGGUAAUACGAAGGGGGCUAGCGUUGUUCGGAUUUACUGGGCGUAAAGCGCACGUAGGCGGACUAUUAAGUCAGGGGUGAAAUCCCGGGGCUCAACCCCGGAACUGCCUUUGAUACUGGUAGUCUUGAGUUCGAGAGAGGUGAGUGGAAUUCCGAGUGUAGAGGUGAAAUUCGUAGAUAUUCGGAGGAACACCAGUGGCGAAGGCGGCUCACUGGCUCGAUACUGACGCUGAGGUGCGAAAGCGUGGGGAGCAAACAGGAUUAGAAACCCUAGUAUCCCA